UAACACGUGAGUAACCUGCCCUUGACUCUGGGAUAAGCGUUGGAAACGACGUCUAAUACCGGAUACGACCAGCCCUGGCAUCGGGUGUUGGUGGAAAGAAUUUUGGUCAAGGAUGGACUCGCGGCCUAUCAGGUAGUUGGUGAGGUAAUGGCUCACCAAGCCUACGACGGGUAGCCGGCCUGAGAGGGUGACCGGCCACACUGGGACUGAGACACGGCCCAGACUCCUACGGGAGGCAGCAGUGGGGAAUAUUGCACAAUGGGCGAAAGCCUGAUGCAGCAACGCCGCGUGAGGGACGACGGCCUUCGGGUUGUAAACCUCUUUUAGCAGGGAAGAAGCGAAAGUGACGGUACCUGCAGAAAAAGCACCGGCUAACUACGUGCCAGCAGCCGCGGUAAUACGUAGGGUGCAAGCGUUGUCCGGAAUUAUUGGGCGUAAAGAGCUCGUAGGCGGUUUGUCGCGUCUGCUGUGAAAACCCGAGGCUCAACCUCGGGCCUGCAGUGGGUACGGGCAGACUAGAGUGCGGUAGGGGAGAUUGGAAUUCCUGGUGUAGCGGUGGAAUGCGCAGAUAUCAGGAGGAACACCGAUGGCGAAGGCAGAUCUCUGGGCCGUUACUGACGCUGAGGAGCGAAAGGGUGGGGAGCAAACAGGCUUAGAUACCCUGGUAGUCCACCCCGUAAACGUUGGGAACUAGAUGUGGGGACCAUUCCACGGUCUCCGUGUCGCAGCUAACGCAUUAAGUUCCCCGCCUGGGGAGUACGGCCGCAAGGCUGAAACUCAAAGGAAUUGACGGGGGCCCGCACAAGCGGCGGAGCAUGC
rnacentral:rRNA from 1 species